UGCAGUUGUAGUAAAAUAAUUAUUUAAGUCUUGUAAACUUAAGUUCUCUUUAUAUUAAUGAGUGACUGCAA
rnacentral:tRNA from 1 species